rnacentral:rRNA from 1 species
GAUGAACGCUGGCGGCGUGCCUAAUACAUGCAAGUCGAGCGAACAGACGAGGAGCUUGCUCCUCUGACGUUAGCGGCGGACGGGUGAGUAACACGUGGAUAACCUACCUAUAAGACUGGGAUAACUUCGGGAAACCGGAGCUAAUACCGGAUAAUAUAUUGAACCGCAUGGUUCAAUAGUGAAAGACGGUUUUGCUGUCACUUAUAGAUGGAUCCGCGCCGCAUUAGCUAGUUGGUAAGGUAACGGCUUACCAAGGCAACGAUGCGUAGCCGACCUGAGGGGGUGGUCGGCCACACUGGAACUGAGACACGGCCCCGACUCCUACGGGAGGCAGCAGUAGGGAAUCUUCCGCAAUGGGCGAAAGCCUGACGGAGCACCGCCGCGUGAGUGAUGAAGGUCUUCGGAUCGUAAAACUCUGUUAUUAGGGAAGAACAAAUGUGUAAGUAACUAUGCACGUCUUGACGGUACCUAAUCAGAAAGCCACGGCUAACUACGUG